UCUCCUACGGGGGGCAGCAGUGGGGGAUAUUGCACAAUGGGGGGAACCCUGAUGCAGCGACGCCGCGUGGGUGAAGGAGUGCUUCGGCAUGUAAAGCCCUAUCGGCAGGGAAGAAGCAAGACGGUACCUGACUAAGAAGCCCCGGCUAACUACGUGCCAGCAGCCGCGGGAAUACGUAGGGGGCAAGCGUUAUCCGGAUUUAAUGGGGGUAAAGGGAGCGUAGACGGCUGGGCAAGUCUG
rnacentral:rRNA from 1 species